GGACAGUUAGCUCAGUUGGUAGAGCAUCGCGUUUACAUCGCGAGGGUCACAGGUUCGAGUCCUGUACUGUCCACCA
rnacentral:tRNA from 1 species